rnacentral:rRNA from 1 species
UACAGAGGUCUCAAGCGUUGUUCGGAUUCAUUGGGCGUAAAGGGUGCGUAGGUGGCGCUGUAAGUCGGGUGGUGAAAUUUCGGAGCUUAACUCCGAAACUGCAUUCGAUACUGCGGUGCGUUGAGGACUGGAGAGGAGACUGGAAAUUCAUGGUGUAGCAGUGAAAUGCGUAGAGAUCAUGAGGAAGACCAGUCGGCGAAGGCGGGUCUCUGGACAGUUCCUGACACUGGAGGAGCGAAAGUGUGGGGAGCGAACAGG